AUGACAAACUGUGGCAUUGUAUGUGGACAUUUGGGAAAUACUGUCUUUGUAGCUGAAGAGCAGUGCUGUCACAAGAUGAGAUGGGCUUCAGUGAGAAGGAGUACAUUAACUAAGAAGCACCAUGAUUCUAAGCAGCAAAACUGCUUCCUGAGUAAUUUUAAGGUAAGGUAUGAAAAAAUUAUGCUCAAGUUACUGAGAAUGGCUGGUUCUGGGCAUUCUGUCUCAAAACAUGCCCUUUCCAGUCCUGUAGUAAAUCUCAACUAUCAAGUUGACAUUAACAAGUUGGCAGAAGAAAAGGUGGGGGCUACAGGGUAG
rnacentral:lncRNA from 1 species